UCCCUCUCUCUCCCUCUCUCAUAGUCCCUCACCGUCAGUCACUCACCGUCACUCUUCAUUUCCUCGGCUCCCGUCGACAUUCAAGUCUCUCUCUCUCUCUCUCUCUCCCUCUAUUUCCCCAUUUCACUCUAACUCUGGGGUUUUUUAUGUUGAUGUUGUAGGAUUUGAUUUCUGUGAAAUGAGUACAUGAUUUUUUCUUUUUGUUCUAGAUUUAGGGUUUUUUGAACUAAUUAUUGGUGUGAUAGAUGAGGUGAUUUAUUCUUUGAAAUGAUUUAGGGUUUUUGAAUUUCAAGGUGAAGAUAUAUUAAACAAACAAAAUGGAUUGUAGUUUAAUUAUACAAAAUUUUCUUUCGAUUCUUGAUAUUAACUCCAGCACUAAUUUAACAAUGAUUUUUUCUCAUUACUAAAAUUGUAGUUCUAGUUAACUGCUCCUAGUGUUUGUCUAAUUCAUUUUCACUUCAUAGACUAUAUAUAGCAGCAGUAGUGGGUCUUACUUUUUUCUUUUUGACAAGUAAAAUCUAUUAACAAAUCACCAAGAGGGUAUACCUAUUUACCACUGUAGAGCAAAACAACAAAAAGAUCUCUUAUUCAUGAUUGGUUCCACAAAGUGUCUGCAAAAUUCAUGAUUGGUUCCACAAUUCCCUGAAACCAACCAUACAAGAAACAAAAACUUACUCUCUAAUUUAAAGAGAGGUUGUUCCACCCAACAAAGGUUGUCGAUUACACUUGGCCCACAUAAGCCACAUCAAACAUAACAAGGUGCCAAUAGCCAAGCCCUUUUCCUCUACUUGCCUACUACUCCCUCCUUUCAACAAAGAAAUGGGUCCAGCACACUCCUUUGAAAAACCCAAAUAUACCUAGGAUCAUCCCCAAGCUUUAGAUAGCUACAUAUUUGGACAUUUUGACUCUGUUUGUUUUACGCUGAUAAAGAAUAUAAAAUGUUUAGUGCAAAUCAAACUCAAACUUAGUGUCAUGUAGGCCACUUUUAAAAUAAAUCUAAUUCAUGCACUUAAUUUUUUGGGUAAUUUUUAAAGGAUUAUGGAUUUGAGUAAGGAUUUGGGAUCGUUUUCCAAGUUGAUUCAAUGAUUUAAAUUAUUAAUAAACAUAUAAACAACCUCGUCUCCUUUUUUUCUUUUUUUUUUCUUUUUUUUUCUAUGAGUACACACACAACAUACAUUCUAUUCUACUUCCUUUUACACAACCUCCUUGUAAUCUGAAUUCAGUCAAAGAGUAAUUCUAAUCUUCAUCAACUCACACAAUUCAACCAAGUUGGGGAUACAAGCAUUAAACACACACUCAUUUCUCAUCUUCCAUAAAGACCACAAAAUAGCCAAUGGUUUAGCCCUCCAAAUUUUCCUCUCCUUUUUCAAGAAACCUAUUGCCCUCCUACCAAUAGAAUAGACUUUCAAUUGUACCUAGCAAAGCCCCUUGUACAUCCCACCAAUUUAACAUUGAAGCCCAUACUCUCCAAGCAAAGGGACAAUGCAAAAGUACAUGGCUCAUAUAUUCAUCUUCGUUUUUACAAAAAACACAAAGGAUUAGGACAUUUCUUUGAAGAACACCUAUCCUUUGAAGAUAAUCAGCAGUCUUAACUUUGUUUUUCCAUGCUAACCAACCAAAAAAUUGGACUUUCUGAGGUGCAUACUUGAUCUACACUAGCUUUGUUAUUUCUUCUACUUAUGAUGAUUGACUUGUACCUCGAAGCUUUGCUGAUUACAUUAAUGGAGGGAUAGUUGAAAAGGUAGAGGUUAUACUCUUUUUUGUACGUGUGUGUGUAACACAUGCAUUUAGUACAAGUAAACAGAGCUCCCCUUAAAGCAAUUUUUACCCAAACCUAUAGAAAAUCACAACAAUACCUAAGUUUACUGGAGGGGAAAAAAAUCAUAGUUAUUUUCAUACAUUUGCAUCUAGAAUUUUGUCGUAAAUGUAAGAUUUGUUUUUUGUUAUAUGAAAGUUUUCACAAAAAAAAUUCUUUAUUCCCAUGAUUGCAAACUUACAUUUAACCAUUUUUAACUCCAUUUCUCAAGUUCUCUUGAAGCAUAUCUCCAUAUUAACUUUUCUGAAUCAGUUUUUCUAAAAUUUUGGACUUGGUUACAAGUUUAUUUUUAUGUGUUUGUGUAACAAAUUGGCUCUUGGGGAUGCAUAUCCUAUAUUUGAGUGUUUCAAAACAUCAAGAAGAACAUAAUUCAGCUCAAAGAGCUUUGGUUUUGGUGUCAAUAUUGAUAGAAAAUUUAUGUUUUUUAGUGCAUUUGACUGAAAUUUGUUUUAUAGAAUCUCUUGACUUUUGAAUGGCUCGGUUCAAGCGAAUUUGGUAGAUUUGGUGGUAUUUUGCGUAGUCAUACCUACAAUAGCUGCAUCAUUCUAUCUAUGGUACAUAAAGUACUGACUUUCAAAGUGUGUUUUUGACUUUUUUUCUCUUUGUUGUUUAUCAUAUGCCCAUAUAUUUGUAUUGUCUCUACCUUCUCUUGAUGGACUUGGAAAUUGCUUUCCUUUUUGUUUGUGUCGUUCUUGUUAAAAUUCUCUCCUACUGCUUUUAUGAUUUUAUUUUCUUUGCAAGAGAACAAUAAAGAAGGGAGUUUUGAUUUCUCUGUAAAGGUAAGGGUUAAGCAAUUGAUGUUGUGUCGUGUCGUGUCGUGUCGUGUUCUGUUUUUUUUUUUUUUUUUUUUUGGGUGCUAAAAUUGCUAUAAAAAAGAUAUAAAAAAAUCAGAUGGCAACAAUACUACAAGUUUUGGCCUAAUUAGAUGACUUCUCUAUAUUGGUGUGGUGUCUACUAUGGAUUUGUAAAAACAAAUAAUAAAUAUAGGUUUAUGAUAUAAGAAUUCUUACCGCGCUUUAUUGGUUUAAUGGUCAACAUUUGGUAAAUUCACAGCAUUUUCUAAAUUGGAGUGUUUCAAAGAAGUUCCAAAGAGAUUGUUAGAGUGUUUUGUAAAUUUGUUUUUCUCAUAUACUGAAUUAAUGGCAGGCAUUCUUAUAAUUUCUUCUAUAUUUCCACACUGUUAUUCUAAAUGCUUUAAACUUGAAUUCCUUGCAUAUGAGUUCCUUAGAACUAUAGAUCAAAUAAAUCACUAUGAAUGAUAUGCUUGUGUAUAUUCAUUUAUUGUCUUUGUUUCUAGGUAGUGUACUGUUCUUGGUAAUAAAUGUUGGAAUGAAAUGAUCAUUCCACUAUUUGGUUAGCAAAAAAAAUACUGAAUAGUCAUUCCUAUUCAACUAACAUGGCUGAAUUGCCAUUCUAUUUGGGAUGUAUGAAAUAGGUAUUCCAUUCCUUUCAUUUUUUCAUUGCAACAAAAGUUGCCCCUGUAGUACAUAAACAAACAUUUCAUUUCACGGAGCUUCUUCGACAAUUUUGUAACGUAACAACGCUAGAUCGUGGCAUGUCUCCUCACUCACUCAUAUCUCUACUUCCUUCAUCUUUCUUUUUGAAGUCUCAUAUUUUUGUUAGUGAUCUAAUUUAUUUUCUUUUCCUUUUCUGCUUGAUAUUUACAAUUAUUAAUAUGUGGCUCACUUCUUAUUGGUAAGGAAGAAUGAUAGGCAACUACUUUCUUUAUGCUCUAUCAGGUUGCUUAUUUUGUUUAUCAUUAUGGUUAAUUCUUCUAUAAGAAAAUGGGGAUUUCUUAGAAUAAAAUUUGUAUAGUUGGUGCAAUCACGUGAUCUAAUAAUUAUACCCAAAAAAAUUCCAGGUUGAUCGAAAAUAUGUUCUGUUGAUUUUCAAUUGUGGUUGUAUUCUUUGCCUUACCUUGAAAAGUAAAUGUGUAAAAUUUUAUUUAGUUCUACUGUUUGCCUGCUUGUUUUGAUGCAAAUGUCCAGACAUGAAGUAACCAAGUUAUUAUAGACUGUGGAAUGCUUCCCCAAUGGAUAUAGCAAAGUGGUUAAAAUAAGCAAGGUCUCUGUAGAUUCUGGAAUUGAAGGGGGUUCCAAACAAAUGGAGAUUUCAGGCGAGGGUGUGGGAUGAGUCUUCCUAGUCUGGAACACCUAUGAUGAAGAGGAAAUAUCAAGAGAGGUGUUUGGGAAGAAGGGAUAUUUAAGAGGUUUUGGGAUUAGCCCAAAACCCUUUUCCUCCGAUUCUAGAUCAAAUGCUGUAGCACUACGAGAGGUAGAGAUGCAAAGACUUUAGAUCCGAGGUGGAGAUUACUUUUGGCAUGAAACAUAUUACUAUUGGCAUGGUAUAGAUUACUAGUGGAUAUUUGUUUUUUGUGUACGGAGAACAUGGUUUUGGUAUGAUUCUUUGUUUUUAUGUAAUUAUUAUUUUAGGUUGGAUUA